UACAGAGGUCCCAAGCGUUGUUCGGAUUCACUGGGCGUAAAGGGCUCGUAGGCGGCCAACUAAGUCGGACGUGAAAUCCCCAGGCUCAACCUGGGAACUGCGUCCGAUACUGGAUGGCUUGAAUCCGGGAGAGGGAUGCAGAAUUCCAGGUGUAGCGGUGAAAUGCGUAGAUAUCUGGAGGAAUACCGGUGGCGAAGGCGGGUCUCUGGGCAAUAACUGACGCUGAGGAGCGAAAGCGUGGGGAGCGAACAGG
rnacentral:rRNA from 1 species